GUCAACAAACAAUGAUAAAAUUUCAGUGCACUCUCUUGCAACACGAUCAUGUCACCUGCCAAACCACGAGUGCAAGUUCUGUGUCAAACAAACAAUUGGUGAGAGUUUGCCAAGGCAGCAGGGCUCAAAGAGUUUCGGAUAUGUGUCUUCGCCUUUGAGAUUGAAAGGGGGGAACCAGCGCUCACUGUCCAUAGGCUUUAAUAAGGGUAAGGUAUAAGAUUGUAAGUGCAAUGUCUAUACAUAGAUGAUGAUAUACCAUAUAUCUCAUAAGUUGUUUCUAUCAGGAUCGUGCGAAGUGGCACCUACGAAGUUUAUCGACAAGGAAAUUGAAUGUAGCCACCUAUUAGUAUGUUGAGCAGCUAUGGCUCGAUGGUUGUCUCUCUCCUUUAUUAUGCUCCUGUUCUUAUUACUUCCUCUCCAAUUAUCGCGCUUUUGGUAUCGAACUUCAUGUCGAGUGGCUGCACUUUUUGUUUCAAACUUCAAGUCGAGUGGCUAUCUUUUUGUGGUCUUAUGAACAGACUGAAAUCAAUUCUACCUUAUAAUCUCAUACCAAUAUUGACCAAUGUUAUGCCUCUCUCCUGCCACAAUUGAAUGUUUCUUCUUCAAUUUAUUGUUAUCCUG
rnacentral:lncRNA from 1 species